rnacentral:tRNA from 1 species
GGGCCUAUAGCUCAGCUGGUUAGAGCACUUGACUCAUAAUCAAGGGGUCCCUGGUUCGAGCCCAGGUGGGCCCACUA